rnacentral:rRNA from 1 species
CCUACGGGUGGCAGCAGUCGAGAAUCAUUCACAAUGGGGGAAACCCUGAUGGUGUGACGCCGCGUGGGGGAAUGAAGGUCUUCGGAUUGUAAACCCCUGUCAUGUGGGAGCAAAUUAAAAAGAUAGUACCACAAGAGGAAGAGACGGCUAACUCUGGGCCAGCAGCCGCGGUAAUACAGAGGUCUCAAGCGUUGUUCGGAAUCACUGGGCGUAAAGCGUGCGUAGGCUGUUUCGUAAGUCGUGUGUGAAAGGCGCGGGCUCAACCCGCGGACGGCACAUGAUACUGCGGGACUAGAGUAAGGGAGGGGGAACCGGAAUUCUCGGUGUAGCAGUGAAAUGCGUAGAUAUCGAGAGGAACACUCGUGGCGAAGGCGGGUUCCUGGACAUUAACUGACGCUGAGGCACGAAGGCCAGGGGAGCGAAAGGGAUUAGAUACCCCUGUAGUC